rnacentral:sRNA from 1 species
GUCCUGUGGCCUCUGCAGCUCAGCAUGGCUAGGGCACUGGGAGCACCCAUUGCACUGGGGUUGUGGAGCCUGUGCUGGUCUCUGGCCAUUGCCACCCCUCUUCCUCCGACUAGUGCCCAUGGGAAUGUUGCUGAAGGCGAGACCAAGCCAGACCCAGAUGUGACUGAACGCUGCUCAGAUGGCUGGAGCUUUGAUGCUACCACCCUGGAUGACAAUGGAACCAUGCUGUUUUUUAAAGGGGAGUUUGUGUGGAAGAGUCACAAAUGGGACCGGGAGUUAAUCUCAGAGAGAUGGAAGAAUUUCCCCAGCCCUGUGGAUGCUGCAUUCCGUCAAGGUCACAACAGCGUCUUUCUGAUCAAGGGGGACAAAGUCUGGGUAUACCCUCCUGAAAAGAAGGAGAAAGGAUACCCAAAGUUGCUCCAAGAUGAAUUUCCUGGAAUCCCAUCCCCACUGGAUGCAGCUGUGGAAUGUCACCGUGGAGAAUGUCAAGCUGAAGGCGUCCUCUUCUUCCAAGGUCAGUCCAGGCUGGAAUCCAA